rnacentral:lncRNA from 1 species
GUAGCAUAGCUCCAAAGGAACAAAUGUACCAUGGUAAUGGAGCCAGAACUCACCGUUUUCCAUAGGAGCGGCUUCAGGAUUCCAGUGCAUCAGUGUUCAUGUCAGCAACAGCAACUUCAGAGGUGGCAGCAGCUGGAGAAAGAAUUUUGUGGCUGCUGGAGGAAUGACAGCAGUCUCAGACAGAGAUCGAACGUGGGUCCUUGUGCUUGCACAGCAGGUGGCAAGACCACUGAGCUAAAUCCCCGGCCUUUAAUAUAUUCUUUUAAAAAAUCAACUAAUGAGGAGGUCCUGAGUCGCGCAGAAGACGCCAAAUCAGCCCGCUGCAGACAGGCAGCCACCUGGUUCCACACUACAAAG